CCUACGGGAGGCAGCAGUGGGGAAUAUUGGACAAUGGGCGCAAGCCUGACCCAGCGACGCCGCGUGGGGGAAGAAGGCUUUCGGGUUGUAAACUUCUUUUCUCAGGGACGAAGCAGGUGACGAUACCUCAGGAAUAAGCCGCGGCUACCUACGUACCAGCAGCCGCGGUAAUACGUGGGUGGCAAGCGUUAUCCGGAUUUACUGGGUGUAAAGGGCGUGUAGGCGGGAAAGCAAGUCAGAUGUGAAAACCACGGGCUCAACCUGUGGCCUGCAUUUGAAACUGGGUUUCUUGAGUACUGGAGAGGCAGACGGAAUUCCUAGUGUAGCGGUGAAAUGCGUAGAUAUUAGGAGGAACACCAGUGGCGAAGGCGGUCUGCUGGACAGCAACUGACGCUGAGGCGCGAAAGCGUGGGGAGCAAACAGGAUUAGAUACCCGGGUAGUC
rnacentral:rRNA from 1 species